UCAAACAUAGGCCAGCCAAGCAGGGCCAGCAAUAAGCUACUUGCAGCUGAGGGAGCAGCACCAACCAGGUCCCCUGCGGCGUGGAACAUUCUGGAGUUCUGAGGGAAAAGCAGGAAGAGUGAAAGAUUAAAAACAGUUUGCAGGUCUGUGAAUUUAAGAAGAGAGAAGUUCCCAAGAGUAGUAGACAAGGAACUCACAGAAGAAGAGAGAAUUUGACUGUAAUGUCUAAGCCGAAAAAAGACAUGCUGAAGCAAUUAGAGGCAGUACCAGUGCACUGCAAACCAGGACCAAGACUGAGAGAAGCAGAAGUGUAUGAUUCCAUCCAGACCAUAUAGACAGAUAGGGAUCCCUGCUGUGCCUCCUGACCAUGCCUGGCCUCUUUACUCCCACUUCGUUGUGCCAAACCCAGCAAUGUAUCAAUGAAGUGACUCUGAGGGCAUCCCCUGCUGCCUUCUCCAGCUUGUUGGAGAUCAAAGUCUCAAGAACAAUGACACGGUUAACCAUUGGAUGAUGUCACUGUUAUAUUUCCAGGUUUGGCAUGUGGUGGUGGAAGCAGAUGGAUGGGGCAUGCAUCCCCUGCAACUGUGGAGGCAUGAUCUAAAUGUACCCUGUAGAGGCCUGACAUCAGGGGGAGGGUGCCCUCAAGAAGACAAGAAGGGGUAGGAGGCACCAUUUACCUGGAAACUGUGACCAGGGGUGACUAGGGGUUAUCAACCAGAGGUAUGCAUACUCCUAGGAGUACUUGGACCGGUCCUAGGGGGUACGUGCAGGCAGGUGAGGAUGGAGUGCCACCACCUCCCAGGAGCAGGGCCAGGGUGGGGCAGGGCGAGGGCAGCGGUGCCCUUCUGCGGGGCAGGGAAGCUCGCAGCAGUGGCUGCCACCACCACACACCAGCCUGGUGAGCUUCCC